rnacentral:rRNA from 1 species
GACGAACGCUGGCGGCGUGCUUAACACAUGCAAGUCGAACGGAAAGGCCCUGCUUUUGUGGGGUGCUCGAGUGGCGAACGGGUGAGUAACACGUGAGUAACCUGCCCUUGACUUUGGGAUAACUUCAGGAAACUGGGGCUAAUACCGGAUAGGAUCUCCUGCUGCAUGGUGGGGGUUGGAAAUUUUUGGCGGUUGGGGAUGGACUCGCGGCUUAUCAGCUUGUUGGUGGGGUAGUGGCUUACCAAGGCUUUGACGGGUAGCCGGCCUGAGAGGGUGACCGGCCACAUUGGGACUGAGAUACGGCCCAGACUCCUACGGGAGGCAGCAGUGGGGAAUAUUGCACAAUGGGCGGAAGCCUGAUGCAGAAACGCCGCGUGCGGGAUGACGGCCUUCGGGUUGUAAACCGCUUUCGCCUGUGACGAAGCGUGAGUGACGGUAAUGGGUAAAGAAGCACCGGCUAACUACGUG